AAUCUUUGAACAGAUCUUUUCGGAGUGACGUUCAAAGAGGAAAGUGGCGGACGGGCGAGUAACGCGUGAGUAACCUGCCCAUAAGAGGGGGAUAAUCCAUGGAAACGUGGACUAAUACCGCAUAUUGUAAUUAAGUUGCAUGACUUGAUUAUGAAAGAUUUAUCGCUUAUGGAUGGACUCGCGUCAGAUUAGAUAGUUGGUGAGGUAACGGCUCACCAAGUCAACGAUCUGUAGCCGAACUGAGAGGUUGAUCGGCCGCAUUGGGACUGAGACACGGCCCAGACUCCUACGGGAGGCAGCAGUGGGGUAUAUUGCGCAAUGGGGGCAACCCUGACGCAGCAACGCCGCGUGCAGGAAGAAGGUCUUCGGAUUGUAAACUGUUGUCGCAAGGGAAGAAGACAGUGACGGUACCUUGUGAGAAAGUCACGGCUAACUACGUGCCAGCAGCCGCGGUAAUACGUAGGUGACAAGCGUUGUCCGGAUUUACCGGGUGUAAAGGGCGCGUAGGCGGACUGUCAAGUCAGUCGUGAAAUACCGGGGCUUAACCCCGGGGCUGCGAUUGAAACUGACAGCCUUGAGUAUCGGAGAGGAAAGCGGAAUUCCUAGUGUAGCGGCGAAAUGCGUAGAUAUUAGGAGGAACACCAGUGGCGAACGCGGCUUUCUGGACGACAACUGACGCUGAGGCGCGAAAGUGUGGGGAGCAAACAGGAUUAGAUACCCUGGUAGUCCACACCGUAAACGA
rnacentral:rRNA from 1 species